rnacentral:lncRNA from 1 species
AAGAGAACAAUGAAAGAAAGGGUGAACUCAACUAGCCCAGUAAGAAAUAUUAUGACUAAGAUAAUAUACAACAAAUUAUCGUUAGUCUUCAACAGGGAAAAAUCUGAUAUAGCAGACAACAAGUUUUAGAUCAACAACUGCAGCGGAAACAACAAUCCAUUAGAAGAGUCAAGUAGAGAAAGAAUUCUACUAUCUUCUAAGAUUUAAAAGUUCAUCAUCAAUAUUUUAUCCUUGUAACAUCAAUUAAUAUACAUCUUUAAUCAAAUAUUCAUCUUUGCACUACAGGCCAAAGAUAUUCAUUUGUAU